ensembl:snoRNA Gm25456 predicted gene, 25456
CUGUAGCCAGUUAAGCUGACUAGAUUUCUUUCUCUAUGGGGGUCUGGUGUACAAAGGUUGCAACCAGAGGUAGUUUAUGCGGCUUCUGUGGGUUGCCUUGGAGACAGUG